GUAACAGUAAGGUUUCUAUGAAUCACGUUUCUUGAUUGGGCUAUUCGUAAAAGUCUUCAAGGCCAUGCAUAUAAAUUGACGUAAGAUAUAAUGGACUGCUCAUUACCUUUCCUUCGAAGCAUGUAAAUUUCAAUAAUAUGUGUGGAUUAAACAUAAACUACAAAUGAACAGGGGAAUACCCAACAUGUGCCUAUCGUAUCGUUAAUUUUUGCUAGAUUGAACGCACAUCAUACAUAUAUAAUAAUAUAAAAACAUUACAGAAGAAACUAUAAAAAAUAAUAGCGCUGGAAGUUCUAUCUCAUAGACAGUGUGAAAAUGGAAAUUAUUAUUUUUAACUAUUAUUUUUGGGAUUAUUUUUCGAAAAUAGUUUAAAUAAAAAAUUUUUUUUCAAAAUUUGAAGAAGUCAACAUCUUGCUUAAACCUUCAUCUUUAAAAUGACAUCUUGUCUAUCAAAAUCGAUUAAGAAUUAUACCUGAAUUUAUUAUCGAUAUUAUAAAACCAAAGGUAAUAAAUAACCUUAAAUAUUAAGUGCUACUUAUUACAUCUUCGUUUUUGUACUCUUAUAUGUUGAUAACAAUAUAACACAAAACACAAUGCUCUUGAUAAUUUUAAUCGCAAA